UGUGACAGUCUGUGUGUGAUCUCUUUCAAGGCGUACGUAUGCCAAUUAUUUUAUAUCAUUCGGAGCAAUACAUCAACAAUACAUCACUGACUAUUGGAGUCAGAUCCAGAACCAUAUCACAAGGGGAACCAAGUGAUAGUGACGUGGAAACUUUAACAGGUUAAUAGAAGUAAGAACUUUAAACUAUAUGUGCUGGACAUCCAUCAACCAGUGGAAGGACAGACAGAGAGAAGAGGUGAUGCAGGAGCUGACUUGAGGAACACUUGAAGGAUUUUGCAGUCUUGAGGUCGACCAGUGUCAUUACACAGGCCUAAACCUACAAAGUUUCACCAAUGUCUGCAUGAUCUUCAGAAGAAGAGAAAGAAAGAAAGACAAAGGAGUGAAUUGGAGAACUUAGAAUUUACAUGGCGGAGCAUUUGAGUCAGUAAGGUAACCUGCUACCAAAAGCUACUCAGACUUUACUGCGGUGAGGCACAUUUUUAAGACAUCCUUCACACCUGGACACAACUUGGCCAGUGGUAUUACUAAAAAUCCUGUAUCCCAAAGUUGACAUUACAGCCAUUUUUACACGAGUACUAUUUACUGCACCGCAUAGAUUCUGCAGGAAAAGACUCGAGACAAAGAGGAAAGAGGGCCAUAGUUCCCUUCCUUGACUAAAUCCAUGCAUUGUUAUCUGGGAAGAUUUGCACUGUAUAUUAUGGGAACUGUGUUUUGCUAUAGUUGAAUGUA